UCCAACCUAAGCCAUUCUAUGAUUCUAUGGGAAGAAUAGAGAAAGCGGUUGAGGAAGUCAAAGCCUGGCCCAAAGCACACAAUCAGGAUCCUUGAUGCUUCCAGCAGGUCCACAAAGCCCAUGAGGUGCGGACAAGAUCUCCCCAGGAAGGCCAAUGGGAUGGAGCCAGCAUCUGGGAGCUGUCACUGUGUCACUGUGUAGCUGAGGGACCCAAGCAGACUGGUCCCAAGCAGGGGUCAAACACACUCACAGGAACCUAAACUCGCCUUGGCUCACUGAUUAACCUCCCUAGUGAAACGUGGUAUAAUUUAGGAUGCGUUUUUCUGGUUCCCGUGACAUCAGAAUCAUUCUGAGUGUUGUAUAUAAUUAUAAAAAUGUCCCUCUGACUUCUUGUUGCUGAAAAUAUACGAGCUGAUUUGUUUCAGGGAAACAAAAACAAAAAAACAAACCCAAACAACAUAAAAACAACACAACGUGUUCCCUCCCUCUUGCUUUUCUAUUUCUGGCAGGCUCUGCCAUGGGAGCUGUGGCAAUGACUGCAGCUCAAGCUGGAGCAGAUUCCAAGUGGCCUCCUCUAGCAUGGAGCUUCAUAAAGGUACCAAGGCUUCAGCUUCCCUCCCAGGAUUAACACUGGCUCAUUCGUUUAUAUGGCACUGCUCAGCAGAGCGUGGAACACACUGCUUGUUUGUAACUGGUGCUGUCUAAGAUCUCACUAGCUUUAACCACAGAGUUAACUAACACCACAGAGGGAGAUGCAGAGUGGCAGAAAGGGAGUAGGCACCAAAAUACACCAUGCAGGGGCCUGAGUAAUGGGCAAAAAAUGGGAGUGUAACCCUAUGACCAUAUUUAGUUUCCACAUGUGAAUCUUGGCGGGCUGAAAGCUACCCUGAAUGCCAGCAAAGCCUGAGAAGCUGGAAAUCUUUCGCUGUGCGCAUACAAGCAGAAUCGUGACUCAUGCAGAAGAGAAACAGUUUUCUUCUGCAAGGGGAACAUUUUUCCCUACUGACCAGAGGGACACCCGAAAAUAGCUUUGCUGUCUGAGUGGUUCUGUCAAGUCACGGCAAUGCUGCAGAGAUAUAAAAACCGAAGAAGUGUUUACAGCUCCAGGAUUUGCUACACCAAAUCAAAGAAGCAUUAGAGUUCUGUGAAAGACGGAGCCCUCUGGAUCUCCAAAGAAAGAUGUUUCUUGGAAAGGAAGAGCACUUCCGAGAAUCCCAGAUUAUUUGAGCCCGUUUCCACCAAAACCAUUGGAAUUUUCCAAGUUACUUCAAUGGAAACUGAAAUAAGCCAAGGAAAAUCCCACCCCAAAGUGGGGGAGAACAUCACUACAAGGUGUCAGCCGGCAGAGGAAGGCUGUCCUCUUCUAACACGUAGUGAAUGAUACAGAUCUGAGCCAGCUGAAAAUCAGGCUCUCCAAUGAGGCCCACAGGAACGAGCUACCACCCCGCUUUCCCUGAGGCACUGAACAUCAUUCAGGGGGUGAGAGCGCAGCCACUGCGGGCGCAGUUUGGGGCAGUUCAGCACAGAGAGCACCAUGUGGGGAGGCUGAGCGCAGAGUGCUGAUGAGGUGAAGUCGAAAAGACUGCUUUGUGUAUAUUUUAUUUGCUGUCCUACACGACGACAAGCGCUUCCGAAGCUCGGCACUGAGGGAGCGGCCUUGAGGGCGCGGCGCGGCCGCCACCUGCUGGUCAGAGCGGGCAGCAGCAGGAACGGGGCGCCGCGGGUCCCGCUUCAUCCCUUACCGCGCUGUUCUCAUUGCACCAGAGCACCUCCACACACGGCUCCCAGUAGAUUAAAGGGGGUCAGUUAUGCGCCUGCUGUGACACACCUGCUUGCACGUUGCUUGGAAUAAAGAAGUAUUUCCAUACGUGCUGAAGGCAAGAAAUCAGAAUAAACAGGCUGUAACAUAGUGGGAAGCAAAGCUCCUUGAGCGUCCAUUUCAUCUGCAGAACAAAUGUUUGUUGAGUACUCGAUCAGUGGAAAUGUGCUCUCUGCUUUUACCCUAAUCGAAGCAUUUCUGAGAGCCAUCUGUUACUGUAAGGAGGGGGAAGUAAUCUCAUAACGCUCCCCUCUAGGGACAGCGAGUAUGGAUCCAGCAAUGACUGAAACCACAGGGCUCUUUGCACCAGCAGAGUGCAGGCAGAAGAAGGCACAGCACACACUAGACAGACCCAUCUCCCACCCGGCACUAGUAUAGAAACCAAGCCAGAGAAAGACUCUCUGUUUGAAGGGUUACUUGGUUUUUUCUCCCUAUCUUCCCUGGAAUUUUGCCUGGGGUUUUGCCAGGCAGUGCUGGAGUGAUGGCAAUGUACCAAGUGGAGCUGGCCUAGCCCUGUGUUGUAUUCCCUGUCCCAGCGCAGAGCUGCCACCCCUAGAAGUCCUGUGGCAUGGUAAAAAAUUAUCCCCACAGGGGGUGGUAUUUUUCCUGGUAAUCGCCAUUUUUUACAUGAACAACUGAUUCUCUGAGGAGCCCAGUGCCAGGAGGUGCAAAAGUAAUGCUGCUGGCAGCCAGCUGUAGGCAGUUGCACAUUUGCUUGUGUUUUAGAGGGCUACAGGCAGGGACUGCAAGCUUGAGUUGUUGCUGGUUGACAUCUGGUUGCUUCGUGUUGUUCCCAAUAUCGUGAAACAGCCCUAGGCCCCAGCUUGGCAGCUGGGCUAAAUCAAGCAGGCAGAUUCUGCUUUCAGCACAGCACUUGGGCAUCAGGAGCAGAUUGGCGACUCUGGCACAACAUCCAUUAAUAAUAGAAGAUCAGGCUUUGCAUUUGAAUAGGCUCUUUUCUUUGGCAGAUCUCAAAGUAAUUUCUAAAGAAGGGCAAAUGUUAUUAUCUCUGUUAUGGUGCUAGGUUAUAUGACAAGCUCGCAGUCAGGGACUGGGCAAGCAUUGGCUCUGCAGCCAGCAGCAGCUGCUCUCCUUGGUUAAAUGCCACACGCCAGCAGCCCUCAGGAUGUGAGGUCCUGGCCAGGAGCACAAGGCCCCUCAGCCAGAUGGGCAGGAGCAAGCGCAGGAAAGCUGCUUCCAUUUCCUUGAGUGCUUGAGAACACGACAGCCUUGCAGAAAGACCACCCUGCAGAUAGCCUGCUUCAUUCUCAGGUACUUGCGCUUCAUAAUUAAACACCAGAGGUAAAUAUCACAGCUGUGUUUUAGGCACUGAAUUGUGCUAUACAUUAUUAUGGUCAUUUCUGAUUCGUAAUCAAGAUAUCCAGCUGGCAUCUCACUCCAACCACUCUGCAAAAUGCAGAUAGGAUGUAUUUCUAGCUAAACUGCUUUGUUCAUUUGGAUACUUCAACACUGGUAUGUAAGCCACAGCAAUGCAAAACAUUGUUUGGAGGCUACUAUGCUCACUAAAAUGCAUUUUUAUGGGAGCCACUGGAGACGCUCAUUAGGAGGAAGAAGAAAGCAGCUGCCCAGCACAGAGGUGCACAGGACACAAACACAUACACACAACAGGAGCGGGCUCUUGCCAUUGUACACUGGCAUUUGUUACCACCCACCAGCUGCUUGGAACCAGAUGGGAAGCAGGAACUCCAGCUCUGCCCUAAGCCAUGGCCCCACACCAGCACCGCCACAGACUACCAGGCUGGCAGUCCCAGUCACUGAGGAGCAAGGGAAAAAAGGGAGCCAGAUCCCUGGAGAAAAGGGCUGAGGCAUGUUUGGUGCAGAAGAGGAGCAGGGAGACACAAGCUAUCAGAUGCUGCUCUCUGAAAGCUGUUGCUACACUUGGUCUGUACGAUGGGAACAGCUGGAUCCAGUGUUGACAACCUGGCAGCAGCUGAAAGCUGUCGAGUUAGCUCAGACAUGAUAAACAGCAGAGAAAAAGUAACAAGUCAUCACCAAAAGCAGUAGUUCCCAACACAUGAGUCAAAUCUGAGCGAGGCAUGACAGCAUGGGAGAUAAGAUACAGAAGUGAAAGCAGGAGCAUUGCUGAGACCGAAGAACAGGAGAGAGAGAAUUGCUAAGUUUAUUGGAUUUCUUCAUUCCCUUUUUUUACUCCCAGGUUUGCCCCAGACAAAAAGAGAUGUGCUGCUCAGAGAUAAGGAAAUAUAGCACAAUAGAUUUCCAAAGGCAGGGGCUCUGAGGAGUCAUGGGUCAUGCAGUGAUGGAGGAGAAGGGGCAGAGAGGAUAAAGAAAAGCUGCAGCUAAGAGGCAUGCCUGAGACAAAUUGGGCAUUACUGCCCUAAAAAUAAAUGCAUUUAUCUGAAACAUUUCCAUAUUUAGAAUACUAAAAUCAGCCAAAUCCAAAACAUUCCUGUUAAAACAUGGAGCUAUUCAAUUCCACCCAUAGUCCAGUGAAUUCUCACAAGAAAAUAAAGGUUCUCAGCUCUUAAAAAUAAAUAUUGGCAGUUAUUUCCCCCAGUUGUGUCGUUCUGGGGUGCCCUUCAUGAGGAUAAACAGUCAGUUCCUCGUUUAUCACAAACACAGAACACACAGGUUUAGAAGGCAGAAAGAGUCCACUUCUAUAAUGUUUUAUGUAUAGUAGCAACUCAUAGAAACACUUCCUGCUCGAUAAACAAAUGAAUGUGCUUCCCCAGAUCAAUAAAGUUACAGACUGUCUAGAGAGUAUCAAGGCCAUAAAAAGCAAAGCUCUUCUUUUAACCUUUUCUACAAAUUUGAGUGUCCUGUUUGAUUUUCUAAACCCUCUUUGUUAGUGUAAAGCCACUGAGGUUCACUUCCACUGGAUGACAAUCAUCUGAUUGUUUUGCUUA